rnacentral:tRNA from 1 species
AAAGAUAUAACCCAAGUGGUAGAGCACAUGGUUAGCACGCAUGAGGUCCUGGGUUCAAACCCCAGUACCUCUU